rnacentral:rRNA from 1 species
UACGGAGGGGCCUAGCGUUGUUCGGAAUUACUGGGCGUAAAGCGCACGUAGGCGGACUGUUAAGUCGGGGGUGAAAUCCUGGGGCUCAACCUCAGAAUUGCCUCCGAUACUGGCAGUCUCGAGUGCGGGAGAGGUGAGUGGAAUUCCCAGUGUAGAGGUGAAAUUCGUAGAUAUUGGGCAGAACACCAGUGGCGAAGGCGGCUCACUGGCCCGUAACUGACGCUGAGGUGCGAAAGCGUGGGGAGCAAACAGG